UACGAAGGGGGGCUAGCGUUGCUCGGAAUCACUGGGCGUAAAGCGCACGUAGGCGGGUUCUUAAGUCAGGGGUGAAAUCCUGGAGCUCAACUCCAGAACUGCCUUUGAUACUGGGAAUCUCGAGUCCGGGAGAGGUGAGUGGAACUGCGAGUGUAGAGGUGAAAUUCGUAGAUAUUCGCAAGAACACCCGUGGCGAAGGCGGUUCUCUGGGCCGAUACUGACGCUGAGGAGCGAAAGCGUGGGGAGCGAACAG
rnacentral:rRNA from 1 species